CCCUUAGAUGUCCUGGGCUGCACGCGCGCUACACUGGAAGUUACGGAUUGAGAUACUACCUUGUCCGAAAUGGUCCGGGUAAUCACCUAAAAGCUUGUCAUAAUUGGAAUGGAUUAUUGUAACUAGUAAUCCUGAACGAGGAAUUCCUAGUAAGUCCCAGUCAACAGCUGGUACUGAUUACGUCCCUGCCCUUUGUACACACCGCCCGUCGCUACUACUGAUUGGACGUUUAAGCAAGAUUUUUAAACACUGACAGUGUGUAGUUCACGCUAUACUACAGUGAGAAGAAGAAGAUCGAGCUUACUUGUCUAGAGGAAGUAUAAGUCGUAACA
rnacentral:rRNA from 1 species